AGUGCUGUCAAGCCAUGGAUCAAGGGGAUCCGAUUAGACUCCAAGGUGUGUUCACUGACAGUCUUAUAAUGUCGCUACAGUCCCAUGAUUGACCCUUUUCCUCUCACAGAGACAGCGCUGCAGUACAUUUCAUAUUCUGACCAUGUCUUUUGUCCACAGCCUGACAGUAAACUGUACCAGCGUGUUGGACAUGCCCGGGAAGGAACAACAAGUUUCCUGCCAGCCGUGGAGUCAAGGGGAUCCGAUUAGACUCCAAGGCUGACAGUCGAGGAACCACAUUGACGGA